rnacentral:lncRNA from 1 species
UUGCCCUAGUGCAAGCCGUGCAACAACACGGGGCCCAGCACCAGGGGGCCCAAAUUUUUUGUUUUUGAUUUGUUAUAUAUAUAUAUAUAUAUGUAUUAAUAUAUAAUAAUAUAUAAUGAAUAGGAAAAAAUGUAAUAAAACACAAUUAAAGUGAUUAUUUAAUUUCAAUCUUCUUACUUAAUGUCUUUUUAAUUUCUUUUUGGGUCAUUAAUUAUGUUCUGAAUGUUCUUUUUUUCUAGACAUUAUAAUAUUUGUCAUUUCCCCCUACCAUCAUUAAAUGUCCUUAUACAUAUAGUAUAUAUAUGUUUCAUUUUUUUGACUAAUCCUUGCAACCAUUGAUGAAACAUUUUGUUCUGGACCUAAAUUAUGUUGUUGAACUUAACGCGAAGCACUUGGUGUCAUGAAAUGUAUUGUAAUUUUUUCUUUUAUUUUCAGAGGUAUUGAUUUUAUGUCUCCGUCCCUUCCUCCCGGUUGUAUACUUGUAUCAUGAGUCAGCAUAUCAAUGAAAAAAUAUAGAUGUGGAGAUGUGUCUUCUGUCAUUAUACUUGGCUAGGUUUAAAUAAAAAGUUUUUAAAAACAAAUUAUGUUAGGAUUUUUUUUUCUUCACACGGGACCUUAAAUCUUUCAAGACCG